rnacentral:lncRNA from 1 species
UUAAUUGUGUGUCAACUGGAAUUCAAGAAACUGUCUUCCUGUUUGGGGAGUUGCUGUUCCCAUUUUCCAGAUAGCAAACUGAGAUCCCAGCAAGGACGGCGUGAGGUCCCACCUGUCAGCUCAGCUAACGGACAAGGGAGCUCAUCUGGGUGCACGUGGGGAAGAGGACAGUGGAGACUAGAUGUAAGCCCCUAAGAAGAUGCACAUCUGCAGAUACAGUUCCUUUUGGGAGAACAAGAAAACAGAUUGCAGAGGUGCUGAAUCCUAUAUUCUCCCUUUUGGAAAGUCACAGCUACCGGGGCUGAGAAUGCGAUCAGGAACCAUGUGGAAGCCACAGCGAUGCGGAGAAGACACUGUGCAGAAAGCCUUGCCCCAAACAGCUCGAAAACACAGUGAGGGGCUGGCUGGUAAGGAGGCUGUGCAGCCUGGGAGUGGGGAGACAAACCUGCCCCAGACACUGGGCCUGGCACUCCAGUUCUGGCUCUCGGUCCCGUCGCGAAAUCCCUUCCACCUCUUGAGAGCUCAUGAUUUCCCUUUAGGACAAAGGGCUCUGCCUCUCUAAGCCCCAGGUGUGCCACCAGUUUACUGCCUGGACCGUGCACCGUGGGAUGUCCUUCUCAGGUCCCCAACUGAGUUGUUUUUUUUUAAAGAUUGUAUUCAUUUGAGGGAU